CCCUUAGACGUUCUGGGCCGCACGCGCGCUACACUGGCCGGUGCAACAAGCAUCCGUCCUUGGCCGACAGGCCCGGGCAAUCUUUGAACGCCGGUCGUGAUGGGGAUAGACUUUUGCAAUUUUUGGUCUUCAACGAGGAAUUCCUAGUAAACGCAAGUCAUCAACUUGCAUUGAUUACGUCCCUGCCCUUUGUACACACCGCCCGUCGCACCUACCGAUUGAAUGGUCCGGUGAAGCCUCCGGAUUGGCGCGCACCUCGGUGCCGCCGAGAAGUUGGCUAAACCUUACCAUUUAGAGGGAGGUGAAGUCGUAACA
rnacentral:rRNA from 1 species